rnacentral:pre_miRNA from 1 species
CAAUAGCAAUGCAUCAGUUACGUUUCCUACAUAGUUACAUGGUAUCAGAGCUGAAAUCCUAAACCAAUGAAUGUUUAUCCAGCACCAAUCCCCUGCUGCUAGGAGCUGUAGCUCUCGGGGCAGUACCUAAUCCGCUGCUGAUCUGUUUCUAGUCAUGAAAAGCACUGUGAUCUGUAAGUGCUUGCUGCAUGCCAUGGUUUUGCCCAAUUCUAUGGCCAUCGUUGGAUUCGUGACCUGACAGUGAUGCAAUAAUCAGUGAUGGAUUUGUGUUGGCUCUACUUGGGGUUGAGGAUCUUAGCUGUUAGCUCUGAUACCAUGUUAACUGUUUAGAGACUUGGCUGAUGCAUUACUUUUGGAAAC